GAUGAACGCUGGCGGCGUGCCUAACACAUGCAAGUCGAACGGAGUUUACUGGAUGCAGCCUAGCGAUUCUAGCAAACUUAGUGGCGGACGGGUGAGUAACGCGUGGAGAACCUGCCUCAUACAGUGGGAUAACAGUUAGAAAUGACUGCUAAUACCGCAUAAGACCACAGCACCGCAUGGCGCAGGGGGAAAAGGUUUUAUCGGUAUGAGAUGGAUCCGCGUCUGAUUAGCUAGUUGGCCGGGUAACGGCCCACCAAGGCGAUGAUCAGUAGCCGGCCUGAGAGGGUGAACGGCCACAUUGGGACUGAGACACGGCCCAAACUCCUACGGGAGGCAGCAGUGGGGAAUAUUGCACAAUGGGCGCAAGCCUGAUGCAGCGACGCCGCGUGAGUGAAGAAGUAUUUCGGUAUGUAAAGCUCUAUCAGCAGGGAAGAUAAUGACGGUACCUGACUAAGAAGCUCCGGCUAAAUACGUGCCAGCCGCCGCGGUAAAAC
rnacentral:rRNA from 1 species